GUGGUAACUUUGGCAACACAUAUACUAAAAUUGGAACACCACAGAGAUGGUUAGCGUGGACCUCGCACAAGGAUGGCAUGCAAAUUCAUGAGGCAUUCCAUAUUUUU
ensembl:snRNA U6 U6 spliceosomal RNA